CCAGUUCUCCUCUAAGCAGAGCUGUUGGUCAGACUUGCUGGCACUAGAGACUAAACAUGGCAGUGAGGUGAGGCCGAUGAGCGGUUAAUGGCAGAGUCAGAGAUGCUUCUGAAUUCCCUCCAUGGCUGCACGGUUCCUCAGAAAGCAGUUACGCCUGCCAGCUCAAUCAAAGCCAUCCCUUCGCUGCUGUCCUGGACAGCUGUGCAGCCUCUGCUCGCAUGCUCUGCAUCCGGGUUGACAUGGCUGAGGGGAAUGUAGCCAGCAAGACUCCAGGGCUGAGCUCUAGGAAUGGAACCAUUGUCAACCGUGUGAAUCAGAGCGAGCUUCUAAGUUGUGUUUCAGCAGGAACCAGGCAGUGCUAGGAACAAGCAAGUGUUGGCAAGAGCUCAGGGCAGCUCUUCCCUCGCCCUGCACCAUGCACGACUCACACCGCUCACUCUUUUCUCCCUCCAGACCAAGUCCACCCAGCAGGAUGAAGGAACCAGCAGCUGGCAGUUGGUGUUCCUGCUUCAGCCUGAGAGAACCAUCCUCUGUGGCCAAACACCAACUGCAGCACAAUGCCAGGGAGCCCUCAGAAACAGAGGUGGUGGUCCUGGCAGGUAAGGGUGCACAUCCAGCUUUUAAAACACUGCUUGUCAGCGCCAUCGAAUUCAUGCUUUCAGUAGGCUGUACCUCCUUCUAGCGUUCAAGCCCGUGCCCAACAUCUUCAGUUCAGCCCUGUCUUUCUUUCCCAGAUGAGUCUCUUGUGAAGUCAAGAUCUGGACCUGCUGGAGGACCCCUGUCUCGUGUCUUUCCCCGAGUAGUUUUUGAAAGACAGGAGAUGGGCACCACUGCAAUAUGUUUCAGACUGAUUCCUUCUGACAUUUAUUAUGGAGGCCUUGUGGCUCCAGGUUUCCAUUGUAUCAGCAGGCACACAUUUAAACUUUGUAACACUGCAACAGGGUGAAGGUUGUUUGCAAGGGCUUUGGAGUCCAAACAAAAGAGAAAGAAAAACAACAAAAGCACAGCAGUUCCUUUCAAGAUAGUGGUACUACUGUUGCUAUUGUCCUAUUGGCUUUGUCCUGCUGCCGCUACAUAAGCAAAUCUCAAGAACCACUCUCAUAAUUAAGCGUGUGGAAGUUUGACACUAACUCCUGUGUAUCUACUCCUUCCUAGGUGAAUCGAGCCCUCGUCCACGUAGAAGAGCCAGAGCGUAUAGCGAUGGUUCACUGUGUGCUUCCAUCAAUGCAGAGCUGCUAGGAAGCACGAAUCGCUGCAGCUCGGAUGAUAGCCUUCCAUAUAACACCAGUGAUGGAAUGAAGGUGAUCAUCCAAGUGGAAGCCCUCAUCUCUCCCGGCUGUGCUGAAGACGCUGACCUGAGCCUGCCAGAAACAACGGUCAACGAGCUGGACUGUGACGGGGCGCCAUUGCAAUGCAGCCCAGCCCAAGCACAGCCCGAGUGCCCCGACAGCAGCAGCUCCACGCAGGAUCAGGUCAGCGUCAGCGAGGAGGAGCCGAGCCUUGUGGAGG
ensembl:lncRNA